AACGUCCUUAUCGGGGUCGAGCGUCUGUUCAAUGAUCUCUGGUGAGAACUGCGUUGCUGACACCCUUCUACAACAUUUUCUCACCAAUAUGGCAACAUGUUUGGUGAAAUUUUUGGAACU